AAACAAGAUGUGGAAAAAGAGAGAUGAACAAACUUCAAGUUUGAUUCUUGAUGAUAGAUUUAGGUGGAAAAAAGAGUAAAAAAAAGCCAAGUGUGUAAGUGAAGAAAAAGUGAAGAGCAAAGAUUUUGAUUUUUAUCUUUUAUCUUCUUUUUAAGUGGACAUGUUUGUGAAAAAGGAAGAAGAAGAAGGGGAUAAUGGUGUUUGUGAAAAUUAAAACAAUAGGAAAAAAAAGAAGAGUAG
rnacentral:misc_RNA from 1 species